CAUUGUUUACUGCACGAGAAAAACAAAGAAACACCCCACCCUCCCGACCCAUCCCGAUCUCACCUUCUUCUGGCUCCCAGCACGGCUCUGCCCCCAUCCUCUCACCGCUCCUGACACCGCCGGCCCCCGCCCGCUCCCCGGCUCCUGGCGCCGCCCGUCCCCAUCUCCCCCCGGCUCCCUGCGCCGCCCACACCCCACCUUCUCCUCGGAUCCCGGCGACUCCUCGCCCCCACCUCCUUCCUUGCUCCCGGCGCCCAAUCUCCUAGGAUCCCGGCGACGCCUCGCCCCCACCUCCUUCCUCGCUCCAGGCACCGCCCGACCCCCAACCUCCCUGGAUCUGGCGUCACUCCACCACCACCUCCUACAUCCCAUAGCAGCGGUCGCCCCUGCCGCCUGUGUGCGCCUCCGUCAUCCUCCCGGCGCCGGUUGUGCGCAUCGCCCCACGCCGCCUGCCACGCGAGCGCCCACCCCAAACCGCUGGCUCGCCGGCUUGCCAGGCAACCGCUGGCGUGUUCUUCCUCGGCCACCGCUAGCUCGCCGGCCGUUCACCUUCGCCACCUACUGAAGGUCGGCUUUUUGAAAUAGCCAUCAUGUAUACAACAACUACGGCAGUGGCCUUGGAUGCGCCCAACGAAGGACAACGAUAGGCAAAAAAAUGCUAGUGCAGCUGCUUGCCUCCUCUUCAUAUUCCAUACCAGAAAACAUCCUUCGCCCCUUUAUUUUCUUUAGUAAGUUUUCAUUAAAAGACCUCAGAAUAGCAAGUAGAAGUUCGGCACAAGGACCUACAUCAGUUCAACUACAGAAACAGAACAAGUCCAUGAGAUUAUAAUUAAGUUCAAAAUUACUACAUGGUCAUGUAUUUAACAGCAUGUCCAUGAAUUAGUACAUGAGAAGUACAAAAAAUACUACUGGUUAUAGUUCAUUUAAAUCAUGACAUCUGAAUUGGGGUCAACCCUUGCCACCAUGCUUCUACACGGCCGGACACCAUGCCUCCUUUCACCACCCCAUGGCAAGAGUUAGUUUGGUUGGAAAUUAUGUGCACUGAACUUGUCGAUUGUGUUGUAUCUGUGAGAGUUAAAUUUUUGUUUUAAAAGUUUACCAUUAAUUAGAACAAUUUUGAUGAACCGUGGGAGCUCAGUUAGCUGACAAAAAAUCUUUUGCUUAGUGCCUAUAUGAUACCAGGAGGCACUGUUCAUGUAAGAGGUUCAAAGAUUGUAGUGGAGCAAGUCUAGCUUCUUUUUCAGUUCAGAUCAAUUUCUAAAUUUCAUUCAGUUCAAGCCUUAUUGUAGUGUAAAGUUCAGUUGGAGGCAUUCGUCCAGCUGCCGAUGCAGUGCUGGCCAUUCUUGGCGCUGCCUAUGUUUGAUCAAAUGUCAAAGAGAACCUCAUCUAGCUCUCCGUGUCAUCUGUCAUGUGAGUGGCUGUGCUCAGUGAAUGCGUGCCUCAUCUAGCUCUUUUUGAUACCUUUGUUCUUCCAGUCCUUGUAGAAGACAGAGCUCCCAUGAUUCACACAUGGAACCCAGAUGAUUCCAUUUCUUCGUACCCCCAAGUGCUUUAAUGGUGGCACACUACGGGUUUCAGGUCGUGGAUUGCGCCCUGCACGUCGUUUCGCAAUGAGCCAGGAUAGAGGUUGUUGGACACUGUCGUGCACGCUGUGAGCAGCUGUGGCCGUUGGACACCCGUUCGGAGUUUUGGCCAAGAACCAUCGUCGGCCAGUAGGGUGUCACCUGAUUUUCGUGCAACAACGACCAUUGAACUUGGUAAGCCUUGCAUAGACAGGCUUCGCAAUGAUGAAUGCAUGAAGAUCUUUGUAGGUCCUGGCGACUGUGAUAAAGGCAAGUGCUUAAGUGGUUUUUGCUGAAGAAGAAUGGCCUAGCUUACCUGGCGUAGCAGUACUCAAAGUCAAGUAUCGAUGAUGUGGAAGCAUUGAAACUUUCCCUAGUUGCUUGACUUCAAUAACUAUGCCUUUUGAGAUCGUACCAUUUGGCUUUGUAUCGAACUUCUAGUCAUCAUGUUACAACCGUUCGAUGAAGAAAAUACAUUAGUCCAAAAGCA